UUCCCUCUAAAUUCUCUCCCGCUACCUUCAACGAAAUACGCUAAAUUGGCCAAAUAGUAUACCCUUGAAAUCGGUCAAACAGUGUAUGCUUGAAAUCGGCACCAAGAAUCUCUAUCUCCCUAUAUCUCAACCGGAAACUAAAAUCGUCGGCUCUAUCACAGUCGCAGACACCUUCACAAUCGCCGGUCAGUUUCUGUCUCUAUUUUUAAGGUUCGAUUGGGUGGGUUAGGAGUUGAUGAAAAAUUACUAUUGGCUGGGUCUAGGGUUUCGAUUAUCGAAGUAUAAUCGCCAGCACCAUCUCAAUCGCUGCUAAGUUUUAUUCCAAGUCGCUGCAAUACUAAUUUUUUGGGUCGUUGCUGCUCAAAAUACAAAUAUAUAUUAAGACAUUUUGUUAAAUCUAUUUGAUGAUUCUGUCAUUUUGUUUCUUUUUGAUUUGUUGAAAUCAUCCGAGUGAGUGCUUGAUAUGGAUUACGGAUAUGCAUUAGGGAAAUUUUUCCGUUCUUGAUAGUCCCUGUCGUUUAUUUGAUGUGCAAAGUUUUCAACUGCUUAUUCACUUUAAAGUUUAAACUAUACUUAGCACAUCUGAUGUGCUUCAUAUCUAGCUCUUAACAUUUUUGUGCUGAGAAACUGGGAUUGCAAUUUCUUGAAAUUUUAGAUUCAGUUAAUUACAAGUUAGAAACCUCUAUGACAUAUAUUGCUAAAUCCUGGUAUAAGAGAUUUUCUUAUAUUUCUGUAUAAGCAGUGAUCCUACUUUUAAAUUUAGCAAUCUUCGAAUAGAAAAAUGUUGCAUUCUACUAAAAUAAUAUGUUGGUUUUAGCUUUACUGUUUGAAGGAAAGGUUUUUAGAUGAUCAGUUUGAGCAUAUCUACAACUUUUUUCUAUAUCGGGUUUCUGGAGAGUAUAUCUUCUAUUAAAAAUAUUUGUUUGACAUUCUUCUCAUAACAUAUAUUUUUUAUAAGGUAAAGAUUUAAGCAUACAAAGAGGAAACUAGUCAAAUGUCUAAUUUUCUUUACUGUUGCUUAACAAAGUUAUUGAGACAUCGUUAUUGUUUAACUCUCCAUCAUCUCUUUUUAUGUAGGUUUCGAGAUUGUUACUGGCAUCAUUCUCCUUCACUUUCUUAUCUUCAUCGUCAAAGUAUUCUACUUACCAGAUACCCAAACACUUGAGCCUAAGCCGAUUUGUGAUUUGUGAUGUCCAACUAUGGCAGUUUGUGAUUUGUAGAGAUAAUAUUUUGUGUGUGUUUGCUAUGUUGUGAUUUGUGAUUUUUGGAUGCUGUUGAAUUGGAGGAAAACUGAUUGAAUUGAUUCCUCUAUUUUCCCUAAUGUUAUAUGUUUACUUUUGAUUGUUAUAAGUUAUUCAUAGCAUACUAUACUUAAACAAAAUCCUGUUAAUUUAAGUGUAAAGUAAUUCUAUUUGAACUGUGGAUUAGGUGGAUGUGAACUAGUCGGUUCGUUAGCUUUCGAGAUAUCUCCGUGUUAAUGCUCCAUUGAUUCGACUAUGUUAAUUUUUUUCCAGAUAUAUUUGUGACUUGGAUUCUGUUCUAAAUUGCUGUUAGUUCUAGUUUCGCCUUAUGCACUUUAAAUCACGAAAGUGUUACUUAAUAGUUGCUAUGCUAGGAGAAUGUUUUUUUAAGAUUUGCUACUUGUUAAGAAAAGAAAUGAUCAAUUUUAAAUCUAGUCGUUUAAAUAUUAAACUCUCCCAGCUGGAAUAAUAAGUUAGUUUUUGUGAAGUUCACCUACCGUAAGUCAGUAAUGUAGAUGUUAAUUUAAUUUGUGUUUUCUUAUGUCUCACGUAGCAUGUUCAUAGGUUGUGUCGUUGUUUUUGAAUUAAAGUUUAGAAUUCUAUCUCAUGUCCAAAAUGCCAAACCUAAGUUAGCAGCCUGAAGUGUCUCACUUUAUGAAUUACAAGUCAUAAUCUUGAGGAAAACUCUUAUUUAAUUGAAAUAUGAUAUUUGGCUUAAAGUAUAUAUAUUUAUAUGUAUAUCGCCUCAUAUUUUACUCGUGUUUCGUAAAUUUCGAAUGUAAAAUGUAUUGAUUUAUACUUAUUUAUGGUGUUUUUAUAUGUAGGAAUCAUCCAAAGGCAAUAGGGGGCGAAAUGUGAUAGAUUAGAGCGAAAAAGGAGAAAAGUUAAAAAUGUCGAUUUCCAGGGCCCCAAUUUCCAGAAUGUUUAUUUUUUCAGUGCCAGGGCUAGUGCCCCACGCUACCCUGGGUGCAGGUGAUGGGAAACAUCUCCUACUUCGCUUGGGACAAGGUUAUUUCGGUCCGAGACCCUCCCCCAAACUUGUAUAAAAGCAAGUCUAAACCUAUUUUGGAGGAUAUCUAAUAUACUUUGAAAGAGAAUUCAUAUGGAGGAACACACACCACGCUUGGAGGAGAUUCCUAACUAGUUUUUCUUCUCUUCUCUUCCUUUAAUUUCAUAGUUUCUUAGUUCUAGAGUUUUGGGUGCUACAUGAACAUUGUAGUUUGAAUUUGAAAUUGUUCUUAUUAUUUUAUCAUAUUGGUUUAUUUAUUCAAUCUUGCG
rnacentral:lncRNA from 1 species